rnacentral:lncRNA from 1 species
CGUGAUUUCAGCGCCCAGCCUGAGAUCCCCAUAGCUAGCACUAACCGCAUACUGCAUUUAUUGAUCAUCAGCCACGUGCAGCCCUUAGCUGCAGCCUGGGGUGCAGCCAGCCCACCGGAGGUGGACUCCACACCCCUGUGGGCCAGGGACAGGGAGGGAAAGCAAGGGCUAAACUAUAUUUUACUCCUCUGGCUCCAUCUGCCCUGCUUUACCCGCUUUGCCUGCAGCCUCAUGAAAUGGGAGAAGAGCAAGGCAUUGCAGCAGCUCCCCCUUCCGUGCUCGCUGAGGAUGCCCAUGCUUUCCUCUGCGUGGGGACCUUCCAGACCCCCGCGGGCUUUUCUGCCCUCGGGGAACAGGAAAGAGAUGAUCGGAGAAGCAGGGAGUCUGCAUAGCAGGGUGAAGAGACCUGCACUGCAUAGCCUCGUGGGGGACAGUACAUGGGAUGAAAGCUGCGCGGAUAAGUUGUGGUGGCUGUGGAACACGGCAUAUGGAGAGAGGCUGUUACCCAUGACUCGCUGCGUAGCCACACGCAUCCACCGCAGCUGCUGGACAAAGGAACUUUUGAGAUAUCAUUUUAAAUAAGUUUGUAACCUGGAAUUUGUACACGCAGCUGAGGUUCUAUGUCCAAUGAAGUCAAUGGGAGACUGAUAUCAACAAGGCGACCAUUUCAUCUUGGGAAGGCUUACACAGAUGUUUCACCUGACGCAUUUUCUUUAAUUGAGACUUGUUUAAAGUUGAGAAUGUGCACAAGUCUGCAAGGUCUGACAUCCCUCAACAAGGGAAAAGAAGAGGGAAAUAGGCUUCCAAAUGAAGUAUUAGACAAUACCUAAUGUGAAAUCAUUUGGGAUCUCUGCUGUUCCUUGAUUAUGGUUUGUUCUGGUACUAGAACUGGAGGCUGUUUCUGAAGGAGCAGUAUCAGUAGAGAAGUUUUAUUGCUCAGCAGGCAACAAA